UGCUGAGGUAUAUAGGUCUAUAGUCUUGCCGAGCCAUGUAGGAUGGUUGUCGACAUACACUAAGAAAAUCUGUCGAUAGAUGCGAUAACACUUCAUACAAAGCAAUGUCAAAUGUCAGACACUUUAUAUGAAGUGGUUACCAUGUGACCGACUAAGGGUUCAUCAGAGACACACCCCAAAAAAACUUUUCCGGCCACCACGAGGUUAACUAAGCACUUUGAUCCCAUGGUAGAUUAGUCAUUAUGAAACAAGUUUCCCACUUGUUAUUGGUUGCAUGACAAUUUAAUAACUGAGCUUUUAUCUUUUUUGAACAAACGAUAUUAUUUACUUUAAGAAGAAUAGGGUGGACCAAGUCUCAUAAUCGGCUAGCAAUAAUGUGGUUCAAAUUCGCCUUUGGCGAGAAUCGAACCUAAGACCUUUCACUUAUAACUAAAGAUAAAUAUUACUAGAUCGUAGUACUAAGCAACAACUUAUUUUAAACUCUCAUGUUGUGACAUAUGUUCUUAUCAAUAUGUGAUUGUGUAAAUCCUAAGUAGAGAUAAAAUAGGAAUCCUUUGGGAUCUAGAAGAUCUUUCCUAAUAUACUUUGUAUUACUUGGAGAGCAAGUUUCUCUCCUCCUAAUUACUAUAAAUAAAGGCACAAGGACUGGGGAAUUAACACACAAUUCCUCAAGUCUAUUCUCCAAUCUCUAUUCUUCUCUUUGCCGCAUAUCUCUGUAAAAUAUAGGCCACAACACGUUAUCAGCACGCUCUUCACGCUGUGCUUAGAAGAAUUUAAAGAGAAUUUAUUCGUCUACAAUCAGAGGAGUAUUACGUUUCAAUUAUUUUUAAUUGAUUAAAUCUUGAUUUUAUUGAAUUCAUGUAUUGUUAUUGAUUCAAUUUAUUUUUCUUCUUAUGUUGAACGUGAUACAAGCUUGAAGAUGAAAGCCAAAAAUUGAAGAAAUAAUUUUUUGCAUCAAACCAAUUCAUUCAUAUCAUCACGCAAUCAGGUUCUUCCAAAACAACGGCUUUUAACUCGAUAUUUUUGAAGCCCUGAUCGCAUGAACAUUCACCAUGAUGCAUGACCCAACUUUACGUUUAACGUAUUUUAGAUUCUACAUAAAUUGUGUAUGCCUCAUAACCAAAAUUGCUGCAAUUAUGUGAAUUUGAUAUUUGCCAUGAAUUGAAUCUUACAUAUGUACAUGCAUUGAAACUAUUAUUUGGAUAUGCAUCAACGUAAAUAUGUGAUUCAUUGAAUUAUACAUGCAUAUAAUAUAAUUGAAUUGGAAAAAGAUUGGAAUUGGGAACUAGGGUUCUGUUCGAACCCGUGUCUUUGCACCAAGCCACCAUGCCCGCAAACUGCGAUGGCCCAGAACGUCCCUCAGCCAGGCCUGCAGCCUGCAUCCAAUUCCAUACCCAAAUCCGAGAGCCUGCAGCUCUCCUCUUCCCCAGAAAACCCACGGAGCCAGAAGCUCCGAGCCUCAAAAACUCAGCAAACUCGACACCCAUCGAUGGUGUCCUUGUUCUCGAUCACGACAUGGCUUGCAGCCAUUGUCUCGAAUCUUUGGUUCAUGUCGUCGAUGACUCGAAGUAGAGAUUUUUUUUCAAAUCUCCGUUCCUAUUUGAGUUUUUGUCAACCCACAGGCUUGCCUUGACCGUGGCAACGUUGUCUGACAUGGCGCCGUCGAUCAAAACCAGUGUUCUUCCCCGGCGACACACACCCAGCUCCGACUGGGAUGUUUUUUGCCUCAGACCCGAGCCCAUUAGGGUUUUUGCUGCAUUCAGUCCAACACCAGCCCUUUGGGCUUUGGUGUUUUGUUUGAAAAAUUUGCAAUCUGGGCUCCUAGAUUGCAGCCCAUUAUCACUGCCCGUAGAAAUAAAUAAAAGAAAAAAAAACAAUUUUUCUAUGGCUCGCCUGCAGCGGCCCCGUGAAAAACAAAAGUUUUUUUUUGUUUUGGCUGCCUACAGCAGCCCAGCUUUUUUCCCGUGGGCCUGCAGCCCCACCCGAGACCCUAGCCCAAUUUUGGGCCUAGGUCACACGGCACCCAUUUUAUUAAGCCACCCCGUUGAUAUUUUUUUUUUGGGCUCCCGAAUUUUAUUCGCCUAAUUAUUUUAGGCCCAAUGGGUUAUAUAUUUUUUCACCCACAUUUUAAUUUGGCCCGAAGUCCAAAUAAAUUAAUUCAAUUAUAAUUGUAAACCUAAAGUUAUAUUUUUGCACAUACUUGUUGCAUAUUUGCUUGCAUAUAUAUUUGUGUUUGCCUGCAGAUAUUAUGAACUUAAAAUUCAUACUUCCGAACCCCAAGUUUCGGAAAAGUGCCAUAUGAACCUGAAGUUUCUUAAUGCGCAACACUCAUGUUGAGACCCGAAGUUCUCCAUGCUUAAAUUCGUUUAAACCAAACCAUGUCUUAGUACCUGAAUGUUCUAAAUUUGUUGUUUAUGGAAAUUUUAUUUCCUAAAACACCAAUCACAUUCUUGUUUCCUCCAUUCAGCGUAUUGUCGAACCGUAACAAGUUCGAUUUCACUGACUUGGAAGUUUCGAAUUGUAAACUACUUUAUGUGGAUACAAGACGUGAAUAAGCAUCCGCCAUGAUCCUUAUUCGAAGAAUUAUGCCUGAAGCAUAUCCAAUGGAAGUACCUCCCUGCUGAGGACUCCAUGACUCUUCAAAUCCGUUAUGGACUGUUUCAUAUCAUGCAAAGAUGAAUUUUUGCCUGAAGCAAAACAUGAUUGAAACUGUUACGUCCAUGAAUAGGUACAAUUCUCGUAGUCCAUUUGUGAGACUCAUUUUGCUCCACCUAAUACAUUUGGAAGAGCGAAAUUUGACAUGGACGGCCUAUUGGCCGAACCCCAUUGUUUUUUUUGGUUUAUUUUGUGAAUAAUUUAUUUUGUUCUCGGAUUUAAGAUUAGUGUUUGGAUGUCACCAUUAUUCUCGAAUAAAAGAGUUAAUUAACGAAGAUUACCACAUGUGACUACAAUUAACUCAUGCUUAGGUAUGUUUUGUGGGGAAGUUAGCUGUCUGGUUCUAUGCUAACUUCAUACCUAAUCAUCCCCUGACAACCUUUCGGGCUUAUCCAACCUGAUUGUGGGGCAUGGCACUGCCCUAUAUUGUCCAAUGGUAUUAACUUUACCAUAAAGGGAAGCCUUAUACUCACUUCGUUCCGGAAGAACGCCCUUUUGAGCUUUAAGGAUAUUCGAGAGUAUUAUUACCAUAUUGAAACCAAUGUAGAAAAAUGGAGUAAAAUUCCUUGGCAUAUUACCAUUUUGCACUUCUUACGAAUAUAGUUAAAUGCAUAUUCUAGAGAAGAUGAAACGCUUAACGAAUGGAUUACAUCCAUUCAGCCCCAUUAUAUGGCCGGCCAGAAGCCCGCGAUUCCUCAGGAAUUUUCGCUAUGGAUGUACGUUUGGGAUAUCUAGGAUGAUUCGUGAUGCGCCGUUUUGGGCAUCCUUUUACCAGAAGUAAAGAAAUCAUACCUGGACACGUAUUAUACCUUAGCACCCUCCAUCUUUUUACAAAGGAUUCAAAUGGGACAUUUGUGGAUAGAUUCAACCACCCUACGGACCAUUUAAAUAUUCUAUAGUAUUGGUUGAUGCUUCUACACGUUUGUCACACGUGUGGUUGUUGUCCACAAGUUGCAUUCUCCACACUGGUAGCUCAGAUUAACAAGCUCAGGGCUCACCACCCUGAUUAUCUGAUCAAAUUUAUUUGAUUGGAUAAGUUGGAGAAUUUACAUCGACAUUUACAUCGAACAAUUUAAAUCUCGAUGGAUAUUGCAUGUCGGUUGGGUUUUUGAAAGUUGAACAUCCAGUCCCAUGUUCAUACCCAGAACGACCCAGCAGAAGUAUUCAUUAAACGCCUUCAAAUGAUUGCGUGGUCAACUGGUCAUACGUACCACAGUUCCCGACCUCUGCUUGGGGCCAUGCAAUAUUGCAAGCAACCAUGUUGGUUUGCUUGAGGCCCGUCACGACCCAACCUUAUAAAGCGCGUGUCAGUUGGUUACCAGAUACGAACCCGACAUAUCGCAUAUGCGCGUCUUUGGUUGUGCGGUCUAUGUGCCAUUUUGCGCCGCCCUUACGUACACAAAAACAAAGGGGUCCUCAGGGAAGGAUGGAAAUCUAUGUCGGUUAUGAUUCUCCUUCUAAUAUUCGUUACUAAAUAACCUUUUACAGGCGAUCUAUUUACCGCUCGUUUUACGGAUUGUCACUUUUAUGAGACAGUCUUCCCGUCGUUAGGGGGAGAUAAGAACGGCACCGUUCCUAAAGAACGACGCGAAUUAUUAUGGACGUCCCCACUAUGUCUCAUAUCGAUCCCAAUCUAGAUCGUCAGAGUUUAACCAGACACUUCUUCUGAUCUAGUAAAAGUGACGAGAUCACAUAUACCAGCUGCAAAUGUGCCUGCAAAGAUGUGUACCAAAUGUACUUCGGACCUUUGUCCUGAAAGUAGGAAAGCCACAAUUGUGGCCGACCCUCGUACAUUGACGGCUAGCCAAUCAAUCUAUCUUAUGCCAGAAGCAUGGUAGAUAACUCGGUUCGAGGAUUCACCUCCCCAAAAGAGGAGGAACGUGGCACGAAUGAAUCCGCCCCUCGAUCGCUGUCUCAGACCUUUUCAUCUCAUGAGAUUAAAUCCGGAUAACUCCCGAGACCUGAAGUUCUUGGUCCAGUAUACUAGUUUGGAUGAGAUAUGGAAUUGGAAUAAGAUUAUCAUAAAUGAUGUUUCAUUUAUAUGGUACCGACAUAAAUGAAAAGCGACGAUAACGAACCGCGUUCCGUUGAUUAAUAUCAACGUAGAACUGAUUGGUCAACUAAAAGAAUCAAUCUAUGACAAAUGAGAUGAAUGAAAUAGUGCAAUAUGACGCCUUGUGGCGCAAGGUUUCUCUCAUACGCCAUGUGAUUGAUCGCAGCAUUACAAACGUGGUUGUAGUAUCUCUGGGAUCGUGAUAUGAACCUACAUGGAGUUUUCAAAGGACUUACAUGUACUGAUUCAAAUAGUUCUAGACCACAAGAACAUCCUCUUGAUUCUCAAGCGGCCUUCACUUUACGGAUGCAGAACUAUCCGGGCAGAUGUGGUAUACCCGUCUAAGUGAAUAUUUGAUCAGUUAGGGAUAUAUGCCCCUGCGUGUAUAAAAUCCGAAAUUGCUAAAGUUGAGAAAAUUAACUCGCAUAUCGGACUAUAAGAUGAAUGAUCUUGGGAGAACUUGACAUUACCUCGACCUGAAGUUUCGAGCUAGUUGAUGAUAUUCUGGUCCACCACUCAAACUAGACCCAGAAGGUGUUACGUCUGAGUAUAUCCUGAUCAUCUGUAUGCUAGAUGCAAAUGAGACCUUUACGGAGGGUAUGGAGCAUAAGGUUCCAUAUUGGAACAUGAGGCAGCCAUAUCUAAGUACCAUUGGCGUUUGUUGUACUUAGCUCAAAUGCACUAGAUCAGACAUCUUAUGUGCUGAUAAUCUUUUGGCAUAAAGCAGCACUGCGCCUAACACGCCACCACCAAAUUUGGUGUUAAAGACGUUUUUCUGUUACUACGGAUUUGGGCUUAUUCCCUAUGCAUCUCAAAAUAGAUCACACCCCCUUGAUCUUCGGAAUGAUGCCUACCUUAUGGGAUUCGCUGAAUCAGACCAUUUGUCUGACCGCACAAGGUACGUUCCCGCAUGGUUAUAUCUUUACCAUUAAGGAACACCGCAAUAUCUUGGAGGUUAACUAGAUAGACCUUUUGUUGCGAAACCUUUGAAUCGCUCCAAGACUCACUAUGUCUCAUCACGUGAGAGAUAUGGUCGAGAAUUCUUGUUGAGCAUAUUCAAAAUCCUUGCGAUUUUCAUCCAUCGUUGAGUCCCAACAACGAUCCAUGAAUACAACGCUGUAUGUAUCGACCAGAUCAUGAUACAUCCAACAAAGUCAACACCAAGCAUAUUGUGUCUACAUCAGCAUGAGCAUCAGAAGAUUGAAGUUAAGCAGUCCAAUCCCAGACAACCUUACCGACAUCUACACAAAGUCACUACCAAAGUCUACCUUCCAGAAGCUUGUCCAAUGAAUUGGUAUGCGUAACUUUCUCAUUUGCAAUGCUUGUAGUUUCAUUUGGAAGUUUUGUCAAACUCAGGGGGAGUAUCUAGAAGUAUACUCACUUGAUCUUAAUGUACUCUUUUUCCCUACGAUUAGGAGCAUUUUUCCCACUGGGUUUUUGCUACCUAACUAGGUUUUAACGAGGCACCCAUCCUGGGCUGAUCAUACCCUUGUGAGCUCUUCUACUUGCGUCCAGAAGACGUAUAGUUUUGACUUAAUGCAACUUCUCACUUUUCUCCUUAGCCUAUGGGCUUUUCUCCCACCUUGGGUUUUGCCAUAGUAAGGUUUUGUGAGUUUUACCACUCCUGCAUUCUUCCGUCUUUUGAGACUCGCAUUCGCUACUUGUGCCGACUAAACGAGACGAUUUCAUCCACUACUUCUACAUUUGCCUGAAGAUCUGAUGCGCCAUCUACUUGAGUAUUUGCACACUCAAGUGGGAGUGUUGUGACAUAUGUUCUUAUCAAUAUGUGAUUGUGUAAAUCCUAAGUAAAGAUAAAAUAGGAAUCCUUUGGGAUCUAGAAGAUCUUUCCUAAUAUACUUUGUAUUACUUGGAGAGCAAGUUUCUCUCCUCCUAAUUACUAUAAAUAAAGGCACAAGGACUGGGGAAUUAACACACAAUUCCUCAAGUCUAUUCUCCAAUCUCUCUUCUUCUCUUUGCCGCAUAUCUCUGUAAAAUAUAGGCCACAACAUCUCACACAUUUUUCAUAAUUUUUUAUUAACAAAUUGAAUAAAUUACAACAAAAAAUACCAAUAUGAUGAAAUUGUUGCAGUCCUAUAGAUUAGGAAUGUGAUUGUGUAAAUCUUAAUAUAUCUAUGAUAUCCUUAUGAGAUUCUACCAUAUCUAUUAAACUAGAUAUUAUCCUAUUAUAGUUGUAAUUCUAUUGGGGUAAGGAAUUUAUCUUCUCCACUACUAUAAAUAAAGGCACAACGAAGUGGAAUAACACAUAUCUCACAAUUACACAUCUCUUUUUCUCUUUAUUGCCGUCGCACCCCCUAUCUCUGUCCUUAUUAUAGUUAAGUAAAUUAGGCCUAUAACACGUUAUCAGCAUGCUCUGACCCUGCGCUAAAGAGAGUUUGUUUUUCAAUCAAUGGAGUAUUACAUUUUAAUCAUUCUUUUUAUGAUUAAUUUAUUAUUUUAUUGAAUUGAUCUACAUGCUAUUGAUUCAAUUUAAUUUUUCUUUGUUAAAUGUGUGCAAUUCUGGCUUUCAGAGAAUGAUCUUCUACAAAUUCAAGGGCUCAAUUGUUUUCUGUCAAUCAGGUUCUUUUAAAAUAAAUUAAGAUAUUUGAAACGACCAUAAAGCAUGGAAACAUUCCCCAUAAUGCAUGAACCCCUUACAUUUACAUUUACGUUCCGAUAUAUAUAUAUAUAUAUAUCAUAUAUCAUAUAUGUUUUAUAUAUUUGUCAAUAUACAUAUAAAUUUUAUGCAUUAUGCAAUUUUUUCUAUGUGAAAUUUAUAAGUCAAAGAAUCGAAAGAAAUUAGAAACAAUUAGGAUUUUUCAAACCUGAAAGUCGAAAAAAAAAUAAGGGGUUUUUGAACAUUAAUCCUUGCAAAAGAUUAAAAUUUAAAAAAAAACCUGGUGCUAGAUUAAAUAUUCAAUUUAAUCCUUUGAGUGUACUUUUAUCAAAAUUUACAUUCAAUUUUUGUUAUUUAAUGUGUAUUUUUAUUUAAUCUCUCCAUAUUAAAUUUUAAUUUUAUUAAUAUGCACAUAUUUAGUUUUUUUUUUAAUUAGAAAUGAAUGUAAAUGAGAAAAUAUUAAAAAAAUGAUACAAAAAUAUAUAAAUACAUAAGUGUUCAGAAAUGAUUGUGCCAAAAUAUAUAAAAUUGACUUUUUUGU
rnacentral:lncRNA from 1 species